AGAGUUUGAUCCUGGCUCAGGACGAACGCUGGCGGCGUGCCUAAUACAUGCAAGUGGAACGCACAGAUGAUACGUAGCUUGCUACAAUUAUCUGUGAGUCGCGAACGGGUGAGUAACACGUAGGUAACCUACCUAUAAGACUGGGAUAACUUCGGGGAACCGGAGCUAAUACCGGAUAACAUUUGGAACCGCAUGGUUCUAAAGUGAAAGAUGGUUUUGCUAUCACUUAUAGAUGGACCCGCGCCGUAUUAGCUAGUUGGUAAGGUAACGGCUUACCAAGGCGACGAUACGUAGCCGACCUGAGAGGGUGAUCGGCCACACUGGAACUGAGACACGGUCCAGACUCCUACGGGAGGCAGCAGUAGGGAAUCUUCCGCAAUGGGCGAAAGCCUGACGGGGCAACGCCGCGUGAGUGAUGAAGGGUUUCGGCUCGUAAAACUCUGUUAUUAGGGAAGAACAAACGUGUAAGUAACUGUGCACGUCUUGACGGUACCUAAUCAGAAAGCCACGGCUAACUACGUGCCAGCAGCCGCGGUAAUACGUAGGUGGCAAGCGUUAUCCGGAAUUAUUGGGCGUAAAGCGCGCGUAGGCGGUUUCUUAAGUCUGAUGUGAAAGCCCACGGCUCAACCGUGGAGGGUCAUUGGAAACUGGGAAACUUGAGUGCAGAAGAGGAAAGUGGAAUUCCAUGUGUAGCGGUGAAAUGCGCAGAGAUAUGGAGGAACACCAGUGGCGAAGGCGACUUUCUGGUCUGUAACUGACGCUGAUGUGCGAAAGCGUGGGGAUCAAACAGGAUUAGAUACCCUGGUAGUCCACGCCGUAAACGCUGAGUGCUAGGUGUUAGGCCCCUUCCGGGGCUUAGUGCCGUAGCUAACGCAUUAAGCACUCCGCCUGGGGAGUACGACCGCAAGGUUGAAACUUAAAGGAAUUGACGG
rnacentral:rRNA from 1 species